rnacentral:lncRNA from 1 species
GAAAAAAUAGUGAGCGAUCUACAAGAUCACACAAAAAAUUGUGGUCCAAAAGAAGUAAGAAAUUAGGCAUAAAAAUAGCAAAUUAACUAUAUAAAAGAACCUGGUAUCAGAUUUUCAGCUUCCAAUAGUGGGGAAAAAAUUAGAUAGAAGAGGAGGAGAUAAAAGGAGAGUUGAAUUUAAGGAAGACUUCUUCAUAAAAUGAGUCUUCAGAGGUUUUGGUAUGGAGAAGAAAGAUGAUUUUGGAUGGACAAAAGAGAAGUGAGGAGAGAUGAUCGAGAAAAACGAGUCAUGGAUAGGUGAUUUGCAGCGGAGA